rnacentral:rRNA from 1 species
GACGAACGCUGGCGGCGUGCCUAACACAUGCAAGUCGAGCGGAGCUAGUAGCAAUAUUAGUUUAGCGGCGGACGGGUGAGUAACGCGUGGGCAACCUGCCUUCUACAGAGGGAUAACACAGGGAAACUUGUGCUAAUACCGCAUAACAUACUUAAGGGACAUCCCUUGGGUAUCAAAGGAGCAAUCCGGUAGAAGAUGGGCCCGCGUCCGAUUAGCUAGUUGGAGGUGUAACGGACCACCAAGGCGACGAUCGGUAGCCGAACUGAGAGGUUGAUCGGCCACAUUGGGACUAAGACACGGCCCAGACUCCUACGGGAGGCAGCAGUGGGGAAUAUUGCGCAAUGGGGGAAACCCUGACGCAGCAACGCCGCGUGAAGGAUGAAGGUCUUCGGAUUGUAAACUUCUUUAGUCGGGGACGAAGAAAUGACGGUACCCGAAGAAUAAGCCACGGCUAACUACGUGCCAGCCGCCGCGGUAA